rnacentral:rRNA from 1 species
GACAGAGGGUGCAAACGUUUGUUCGGAAUUACUGGGCGUAAAGCGAGUGUAGGCGGUUCGAUAAGUCGGAUGUGAAAGCCCCGGGCUCAACCCGGGAAGUGCACUCGAUACUGUCGAGCUAGAGUAUCGGAGAGGUUGGUGGAAUUCUCGGUGUAGAGGUGAAAUUCGUAGAUAUCGGGAGGAACACCGGUGGCGAAGGCGGCGACCUGGGGUCGACACUGACGCUGAGGCGCGAAAGCGUGGGGAGCAAACAGG